rnacentral:rRNA from 1 species
AACACAUGCUAGUCGAACGGUAACAGGAAGAAGCUUGCUUCUUUGCUGACGAGUGGCGGACGGGUGAGUAAUGUCUGGGAAACUGCCUGAUGGGAGGGGGAUAACUACUGGAAACGGUAGCUAAUACCCGCAUAACGUCGCAAGACCAAAGAGGGGGACCUUCGGGCCUCUUGCCAUCGGAUGUGCCCAGAUGGGAAUAGCUAGUAGGUGGGGUAACGGCUCACCUAGGCGACGAUCCCUAGCUGGUCUGAGAGGAUGACCAGCCACACUGGAACUGAGACACGGGUCCAGACUCCUACGGGAGGCAGCAGUGGGGAAUAUUGCACAAUGGGCGCAAGCCUGAUGCAGCCAUGCCGCGUGUAUGAAGAAGGCCUUCGGGUUGUAAAGUACUUUCAGCG